UAGCGUCUCGAAAGGGGCGGUAAUACCGGAUAAUGUCUUCGGACCAAAGAUUUAUCGGCUUUUGAGCGGCCUAUCUCCUAUCAGCUUGUUGGUGAGGUAAUGGCUCACCAAUGCAACGACGGGUAGCGGGACUGAGAGGUUGGCCCGCCGCAUCGGGACUGAGACACUGCCCGGACCUCCACGGAGGGCUGCAGUAACGGAUAUUGGGCAAUGGGCGAAAGCCUGACCCAGCAAUGCCGCGUGCAGGAUGAAGCCCCUCGGGGUGUAAACUGCUGUCAGGGGUCAGAAAGACAGUUUAGGCUGUUUGAUCAGCCCCAGAGGAAGUCACGGCUAACUUCGUGCCAGCAGCCGCGGUAAUACGAAGGUGGCAAGCGUUGUUCGGGAUCACUGGGCUUAAAGGGCACGCAGGCGGAAUGGAAAGUGUUUUGUGAAAUCCCCCGGCUUAACCGGGGAAUUGCUUGACAAACUUCUAUUCUUGAGGCAGGUAGGGGUGUGUGGAACUCUUGGUGGAGCGGUGGAAUGCGUAGAUAUCAAGAGGAACGCCACUGGUUGAAGACAGCACACUGGGCCUGUCCU
rnacentral:rRNA from 1 species